AUUGAACGUUGGCGGCGUGGAUUAGGCAUGCAAGUCGUGCGGAAAGGCUCCUUCGGGAGUACUCGAGCGGCGUAAGGGAGAGUAACGCGUGGAUAUCUACCCCCUGGACUGGGAUAGCGGCGGGAAACUGCCGGUAAUACCAGAUAAUGUCUGCGGACCAAAGGUGUGAUUCCGCCGGGGGAUGAGUUGCCGUCCUAUUAGAUAGUUGGUAGGGUAAUGGCCUACCAAGGCAAAGAUGGGUACCGGGUGUGAGAGCAUGGCCCGGCUCACUGGGAUGGAGACACUGCCCGGACGCAUACGGGUGGCUGCAGUCGAUGAUCUUCGGCAAUGGGCGCAAGCCUGACCGAGCGACGCCGCGUGCGGGAUGAAGGCCUUCGGGUUGUAAACCGCUGUCAGAGGGGAGGAAAUGCGUGGGAGUUCUCUCUCACGUUUGACCUAUCCUAAGAGGAAGUACGGGCUAAGUUCGUGCCAGCCGCCGCCGUAAAAC
rnacentral:rRNA from 1 species